UAUUCUUAGUUGCCAGCGGUUCGGCCGGGACUCUAAGAAGACUGCCAGCGCAAGCUGUGAGGAAGGUGGGGAUGACGUCAAAUCAUCACGGCCCUUACGUCCUGGGCUACACACGUGCUACAAUGGUAGAGACAGAGGGCAGCCACCUGGUGACAGGGAGCGAAUCCUUAAACUCUAUCUCAGUUCGGAUCGAAGUCUGCAACUCGACUUCGUGAAGCUGGAAUCGCUAGUAAUCGCGCAUCAGCCAUGGCGCGGUGAAUACGUUC
rnacentral:rRNA from 1 species